UACAGAGGGGGCAAGCGUUAUUCGGAAUUAUUGGGCGUAAAGGGCGCGUAGGCGGCCUGACAAGUGGAAGGUGAAAUCCCUCGGCUUAACCGAGGAACUGCCCUCCAAACUGCUUGGCUUGAGACCGGGAGAGGUGAGUGGAAUUCCCAGUGUAGCGGUGAAAUGCGUAGAUAUUGGGAGGAACACCAGUGGCGAAGGCGGCUCUCUGGAACGCAACUGACGCUGAGACGCGAAAGCGUGGGGAGCAAACAGG
rnacentral:rRNA from 1 species